rnacentral:rRNA from 1 species
UACGUAGGGGGCAAGCGUUGUCCGGAAUUAUUGGGCGUAAAGCGCGUGUAGGCGGCCGUGCAAGUCGGGUGUGAAAGCCCUCGGCUCAACCGAGGAAGUGCGCCCGAAACUGCAUGGCUUGAGUACCGGAGAGGAUGGCGGAAUUCCCCAAGUAGAGGUGAAAUUCGUAGAUAUGGGGGAGGAACACCGGUGGCGAAGGCGGCCAUCUGGACGGAUACUGACGCUGAGA